rnacentral:lncRNA from 1 species
AUGUGCAAGUUCAUCUUCUGAUCCACGCUUGACCAAAGAAGGUUGGAUCUCAGCUUUGUUUUAUCCUGUUACAGUGACAGAAUCCAGACAUCAAGAGCUUAAAUCUCUCAAGUUCCUGUGUUCUCCCCUUGGAAUGCUGUGCAGUCAGGCUGCCCUGCUGUGGGUGCUGCAGCUGGGGGCUGCAGGUGGGCCUGUGCCUGCUGUGCUUCUGUGUUAACCCCCAGCAAAGAGUGAUGCUCCUAUUGACAGCAAAACAGGUCCAGUGAUUGUUGAGGGAGGAUCAAAGCCCGGGGAGGACCCUUCAGCUGUUUGCUUUUCCUUUAUGCAGAAACUUUACCACGGCUGCCCUGAAAACCCCACCAAACACAACUAAGAAUCCCUCCUCAGAAAAGCAAACGACUUUCCACAGCCUAAAGUAAGGUGUUGGUUAUCUGCUGGCAUUUCUCUCCCUCUGCUGCAGCUGCCUUGGCAGAAGAAGAGCCUGGAGUGAUGGGGCUGCUGCAUGGUGCAGUGCUUCUGUCCCUGCAUUACUGUGAGGCGUUGGGCUGUGCAGGAAGGAGCCCCGUGCUGCUGCCUCCCCAGCCAGAAGUGCUCAGAGGUGCCUUGUAGGAGUGGAAUGAACUGAGCCCUGCUUUGUUUCGCUAAAGAGCUACAGAG